CACUAAGAAGCUGUGCCAGCAUUAACCUUUUAAGUUAAAGACUGAGAGAAUAAAACUCUCCUUAGUGG
rnacentral:tRNA from 1 species